ACUCCUUAUGAGGGUCGUCCCAGACGAGGACGUGGAUAGGGCGCAGGUGUAAAGACGGCGACGUCAAAGCCGAGCGCUACUAAUUGCCCGAAACUUUCA
rnacentral:rRNA from 1 species